AAGGGUUUGGCUGUUCGCCAAUUAAAGCGGUACGUGAGCUGGGUUUAGAACGUCGUGAGACAGUUCGGUCCCUAUCUGUGGUGGGCGUAGGAUAUUUGAGAGGAGCUGUCCCUAGUACGAGAGGACCGGGAUGGACGAACCUCUAGUGUACCAGUUGUUCCGCCAGGAGCACCGCUGGGUAGCUACGUUCGGAAUGGAUAACCGCUGAAGGCAUCUAAGCGGGAAGCCAACCUCAAGAUUAGAUAUCCCUCCUUGGUGAAAGCCAAGGACUGAAGGUCCCUGGAAGACUACCAGGUUGAUAGGCUAGUAGUGUAAGUUCGGUAACGGAUUUAGCUUACUAGUACUAAUAGGCCGUGAGGCUUGGCCAU
rnacentral:rRNA from 1 species